rnacentral:rRNA from 1 species
AAAACAACUCUCGGCAACGGAUAUCUCGGCUCUUGCAUCGAUGAAGAACGUAGCGAAAUGCGAUACUUGGUGUGAAUUGCAGAAUCCCGUGAACCAUCGAGUCUUUGAACGCAAGUUGCGCCCAAAGCCAUUUGGUUGAGGGCACGCCUGCCUGGGUGUCGUG